CAUCUCUGACGACAGUGGGGAGUGUUGUGCACCAAUCUAGCGGACCGAAGAUAAAGUCACUUGACCAGACUACAUCCCCGCCAUAAACCGGCACAGGCAAGCAAGAGUUAGAACAACGGACACGCGGAAUCAGUAAGGAAUUAUGCCGACAGUUCGCCAAGUUGUCCUGUUUGUUGCACUCGCUCUGGUGUUUCUGAUCCUCGCUGUUGAAGCCAAGAAAUGCCCAAGCUUCUGCAAGACGGAAUGCAGGUCUCCCAUCCUCUGCCCUGCGCAGUGCAAGGACUGCACCAUCGAUUUCAGCAAUAUAUAAUAAAACAAAUUCGAGCAGAAUGAUGAUGAUGAUGAUGUAGAAACGAGCGUAUCCCACACGGGAAGUACACGGACAAUGUCCAAGGACAUCAUUCGCUGAGAGCUCAAAAGAACCACGUGUGGAGAACGCAUUUUUCGCAUCACAGAUCAUCCCUGGCUGCAAUAAAUUGUUUCAGUUUAUAACAUUCA